ensembl:lncRNA
CGCGCACCCAUUUCCGCGCGCGGAAAGCUCGACUCGCUCUCAGCAGCACGCGAACCUUUCGCGCUGAGACAAACUGCCUCGGAGUGUAUGUGUGACACAGAGAGAGAGAGAGAGAGAGAGAGAGAGAGAGAGAGAUCUGGAAACAAACCCGGUGUGUUUUAGUUUAAAAGAAGAAGAGAAAAAAAAAAAACUCUAGAGGAGAUUCUGGAGCAGGUCGAAAUAUUUCCGCAAGAAGAAGAAGAAGGAGAAGAAGAAGAAGAAGAAGAAGAAGGAGGAGGAGGAGAAGACGGUUUGUUGUUUCUCCGCUAACACGGUUCAGAUGCGAGAGCAACGCGAGAUGCGUUUAACUGAGAGGGAGACGCACGUUGAACGACCCGUUUUAUUAGAGUUUGCUGAAAAUGAAUAAUGUUUUAUUAAAAUCCAAAGAUCGUGGCAUUCGACGGUGACGAAGAUUCCUCGGUUCGCUUACUAUGUCUCACGAAGAUUUUCGAACUCUAGAGGAUGUAACCAGAAUGCUGACGCAGCAAAUGGGGUUCAAAAACCUUCUGUCUGACGGUGUGUAUUCCUAAGCGAUUCAUGAAUACGGAAGGGAAGGUCGGGAAAACCAGUUAAAACCAGUUAAAACCAGUGCGUCUUUAAUAACGAAUUUGUUUUUUUUAUCCUGUGUGCUUUGUAGAAAAGUUACUUUUUGUCUCUGAUUUUUUUUUUUCCCCGCCUUAUCAAACAUGAUCAGACAUACAACUGAACUGUUUGUUUGUUUGUUUGUUUGUUUGUUUGUUUGUUUGUUUUUGAAAUUACUAGACGUUAAACUCGCACGCGCUCCCUAGCAUUAGCAAAUCUUCAGCUUAUAUAAACCAGAUACGAAAAAGAAAGCUCUGAAAUAAUUAACGAAGGAAACCGUAACCAUAAUUAAAUAAACUACAGUCAAUGAAUACUGACCAUUUGAAACACACGCACACACACGCGCGCGCACACACACACACGCGGACUAAUGCGGGUGAGUCAGCUAAUUUCUGAUGACGGACUGUAAUGACAAAAUGAGUCUAUGGG